rnacentral:misc_RNA from 1 species
GAUGAAGAACGCAGCGAAAUGCGAUAAGUAAUGUGAAUUGCAGAUUUCAGUGAAUCAUCGAAUCUUUGAACGCACCUUGCGCUCCUUGGUAUUCCGAGGAGCAUGCCUGUUUGAGUGUCAUUAAAUUCUCAACUCUCCAACUGUUGUCAUGACUGGUGGUAGAGCUUGGACGUGAGGGUUCUGCCGGCUCCUUGUUGAGUCUGGCUCCCUUGAAGAUGAUUAGCGCAGCUUUGCACUGUCCGCUUCAGGUGUGAUAAUUUAUCUACGCCCGACUAGCGACGCGCAUGAAUGGCUUUGUGCUUCUAACCGUCUCGAAAGAGACAAUACCUUUUGAACUUGACCUCAAAUCAGGUAGGACUACCCGCUGAACUUAAGCAUAUCAAUAAGCGGAGGA